UUAGCGCCGGGACCGAACAGGAAGGUCGACGAGGACGGCAGUGAUCGAAAGAUUCGGCGGAUGCUGCCGCGGUGAUCGGUGAAUCGUGAGGGGCUGUAUAAAAAAGCAGAAUGAAAACUGUAACAGAGGA
rnacentral:ncRNA from 1 species